rnacentral:rRNA from 1 species
CCUGAACGCUGGCGGCGUGGCUAAGACAUGCAAGUCGUACGGGAUAGCAAUAUCCAGUGGCGCACGGGUGAGUAAUGUAUAGCUAAUCUACCCCGAAUUCUGGGAUAGCUGACCGAAAGGGCAGGUAAUACCAGAUGAUAUAACGGUGUCGCAUGGCACUGUUCUCAAAGGGCAACUGAUUUGGGAUGAGGCUAUAUUGUAUCAGCUAGUUGGUAAGGUAAUGGCUUACCAAGGCAAUGACGCAUAGCCGGACUGAGAGGUCGGCCGGCCACAUCGGAACUGAGACACUGUCCGGACUCCUACGGGGGGCUGCAGUAACGAAUCUUCCACAAUGCACGAAAGUUGAUGGAGCGACGCCGCGUGUAGGACGAAGUCCUUCGGGAUGUAAACUACUGUCAGGGGAAAGAAAGAUCUGAUCUACCCC